UCUGAGGUGAAGUUUCAUUAUAUUGUUUA
rnacentral:piRNA from 1 species